rnacentral:rRNA from 1 species
CAGGGAAUCUUGCGCAAUGGACGAAAGUCUGAUGCAGCGACGCCGCGUGGGGGAUGAAGGCCCUAGGGUCGUAAACCCCUUUCAGUGGGGACGAAACGGACGGUACCCACAGAAGAAGGUCCGGCCAACAACGUGCCAGCAGCCGGGGUAAGACGUAGGGACCGAGCGUUGUCCGGAAUUAUUGGGCGUAAAGAGCUCGUAGGCGGUUGCGUAAGUCGGAUGUGAAAGCUCAGGGCUCAACCCUGUGACGCCAUCCGAUACUGCGCUGACUUGAAUCCAGUAGGGGAGUGUGGAAUUCCUGGUGUAGCGGUGAAAUGCACAGAUAUCAGGAGGAACACCUAUGGCGAAGGCAGCACUCUGGGCUGGUAUUGACGCUGAGGAGCGAAAGCAUGGGUAGCAAACAGGAUUAGAUACCCCCGUAGUCC